GGUGUGCUUCACCUCUCCUACCAAGCCUUCAUCCCUGUCUAUGAGGACGAAGAAGUUACCAGGGAAAUUGGUGAUGGGCCUGGCUGUCCUGGAGAAUGCUCUUGAUUAAGUUGGUGAUAGAAAACGGGAGAACUGAAGACAAGCACUUUAUAAACUCCCUUGUCUGCUUGAAUUUGUAGUGCUGAUGGAUCUGGACCCUGGUGUAUUCUCCCUGUGGACCAACAGCUGUCAGAAGACAUUGACACAGGAAGUCAAGGGGCAGGAUCUCCAUCCUCCCAGUUUCUUUGGUUUUACAUAGAACUAAGUGAUCCCUGAGAUCGCUCUCAAGACCAGGAAUCCAUCAGCUUCAGGGGCAAGCAGGGAGGCUGAAUGCUGCUGGGUGCAGAUGGGGAGCAAUGCAGGAUUUGAGCAUGGACUGCACAGACUUCCUCCCAAGAGAAGAGGAAUGAGGCAGAAAUGGACCCUAAGAGCACAAGAUAAUCAUAAAUAUCACAAGAACCCUUUGGAGGUUGAAUGCUGACUUUAUCCAAAGAGAAGAUGCAUGAGGUGCUUCAGGUCUUUAAAGCAAAGAACUGCCAACAAUUCAACACAGAGUAUGAAAAAUGGCGGCGAAGUACAGUGUCGAAUAACUGGAUGCUGAGACUUGCCCCCCAAAUCCCAAAACAAUCAGGUACCAUGAGAAAGCACUGGAGCUAGAAUGAUGCUGGCUGAAGACAGGGAGAAAUGCAGGAUUGUUAUUGACUAGGCUGUCACUUCUGGCUCUCAGGUCUUCAGAGAGGAUGGACAAGGACGGGAGUGAUCCCUGAGAUCGCUCUCAAGACCAGGAAUCCAUCAGACUUCAGGGCCAAGCAUGGAGGCUGAAUGCUGCUGGGUGCAGAUGGGGAGCAAUGCAGGAUUUGAGCAUGGACUGCACAGACUUCCUCCCAAGAGAAGAGGAAUGAGGCAGGUGGGUGCCUCAAGGCUUGCUUUCCUUUCCCUUCUUGCUCGCUUUGUUUUUAGAUUUCAUUUUAUCAAUUUAAUUAUUUAUGUAGUGGGAGCACAGGUCCAUCCUUGUUAGAAAUGGCAUAAAAUGCAAAAUAAAAGCUAAAUUCUAGGAGUACAACAGUCUUCUGACAGGAAGAAGGCUAGACCCACAC